rnacentral:rRNA from 1 species
GACGAACGCUGGCGGCGUGCUUAACACAUGCAAGUCGAACGGAAAGGCCCUGCUUUUGUGGGGUGCUCGAGUGGCGAACGGGUGAGUAACACGUGAGUAAACUGCCCUUGACUUUGGGAUAACUUCAGGAAACUGGGGCUCAUACCGGAUAGGAGCUCCUGCUGCAUGGUGGGGGUUGGAAAGUUUCGGCGGUUGGGGAUGGACUCGCGGCUUAUCAGCUUGUUGGUGGGGUAGUGGCUUACCAAGGCUUUGACGGGUAGCCGGCCUGAGAGGGUGACCGGGCACAUGGGGACUGAGAUACGGCCCAGACGCCUACGUGAGGCAGCAGUGGGGAAUAUUGCACAAUGAGCGGAAGCCUGAUGCAGCAACGCCGCGUGCGGGAUGACGGCCUUCGGGUUGUAAACCGCUUUCGCCUGUGACGAAGCGUGAGUGACGGUAAUGGGUAAAGAAGCACCGGCUAACUACGUG